CAGAGAGCAUUGUUGGUGCAUUGAAGCCAUGUGGAAACGCUAGGUGGAGUGCCAACAAGUGAGGAUGCAGACAUGAGUAGCGAUAAGCCGGGUUGAUUUCCCGGCCGCCGUAAAACCAAGGUUUCCUGGGGGAGGUUCGUCCUCCCAGGGUUAGUCGGGACCUAAGGCGAGGCCGAGAGGCGUAGUCGAUGGACAGCAGGUUUAAUAUUCCUGCACCGGCAAUGGUUAAGCUUACAGAGGACAUAUGGUAGGAGAAGGGCCGCCGAUUGAAAGUGGCGGUUUCGCAAGAUGACGUGGAGGCUUCGGCCGAAGCGGAUUCUUCAAAUACUGUAUCGAGAAAAUUCUGUAAGUGUUCCCAUGGCCGCCCGUACCGGAAACCGACACAGGUGGUUGGGCACGAAUGUGCCAAGGCGCGUGAGUGAAACCUCGUUAAGGAACUCAGCAAUCUAGCCCCGUAACUUCGGAAGAAGGGGUCCCUUCAGCAAUGAAGGGCGCAGUGAGUAGGGUCAACCGACUGUUUAACAAAAACACAGCACUCUGCUAAGACGCAAGUCGACGUAUAGGGUGUGACACGUGACCAAUGCGGAAAGAUUACGGUAAGUGGUUAGCCGCAAGGCGAAGCUCCGAGCCCAAGUCCCCGUGAAUGUCGGCCGUAACUAUAACGGUCCUAAGGUAGCGAAAUUCCUUGUCGGGUAAGUUCCGACCUGCACGAAUCGUGUAACGAGUUGACCGCUGUCUCAACGAGGAGCUCAGCGAAGUUGUAAUGGCGGUGAAGAUGCCGCCUGCCCGCAGUAGGACGGAAAGACCCUAUGCACCUUUACUGUACGCUGUCACUGGUUUUUCGGUUGUGAUGCUUAGUGUAAGUGGGAGACUUUGAUUCGAAUCUUUCGGGGUUCGAUGAGUCGUCAAUGAAACACCACCCUUCAGAAUUGGAAAAUCUAACUUCGGCCCAUUAUCUGGGCGAAGGACCCUGGCAGCCGGUCAGUUUGACUGGGGCGGUCUCCUCCCAAAGAGUAACGGAGGAGUGCGAAGGUUGGCUCAGCCCGGUUGAUAAUCGGGUGACGAGUACAUGGAUAUAAGCCAGCUUAACUGCUAGACACACAGGUCGAGCAGUGACGAAAGUCGGCCCAAGUGAUCCGGUGGUUGAAUGUGGAAUUGCCAUCGCUCAACGGACAAAAGGUACGCUAGGGAUAACAGGCUGAUCAUGCCCAAGAGCUCAUAUCGACGGCAUGGUUUGGCACCUCGAUGUCGGCUCAUCACAUCCUGGGGCUGGAGAAGGUCCCAAGGGUCCGGCUGUUCGCCGGUUAAAGUGGUACGCGAGCUGGGUUCAGAACGUCGCGAGACAGUUCGGUCCUUAUCCACUGUGGGCGCAGGAGAAUUGAGGGGUUCACUUUCUAGUACGAGAGGACCGAGAGUGACGAACCUCUGGUGUUCCGGUUGUCGUGUCAACGGCAUUGCCGGGCAGCUAUGUUCGGAAAGGAUAAGCGCUGAAAGCAUCUAAGCGCCAAGCCUCUCCCAAGAUGAGUUCUCCCUGAAGAUCCGUGGUAGACCACCACGUUGAUAGGUUGCAGGUACAAGCACGGUAACGUGUUCAGCUCAGCAAUACUAAUGAUCGUUCGGCUAAA
rnacentral:rRNA from 1 species